CCCCGGAAGGGGAGUGAAAGAGAUCCUGAAACCGUGUGCCUACAAGUAGUCAGAGCCCGUUAACGGGUGAUGGCGUGCCUUUUGUAGAAUGAACCGGCGAGUUACGAUCCCAUGCAAGGUUAAGCUGAUAAGGCGGAGCCGUAGCGAAAGCGAGUCUGAAUAGGGCGUUUAGUAUGUGGUUGUAGACCCGAAACCAGGUGAUCUACCCAUGUCCAGGGUGAAGUUCAGGUAACACUGAAUGGAGGCCCGAACCCACGCACGUUGAAAAGUGCGGGGAUGAGGUGUGGGUAGCGGAGAAAUUCCAAUCGAACCUGGAGAUAGCUGGUUCUCUCCGAAAUAGCUUUAGGGCUAGCCUCAUGUUGUAAGAGUCUUGGAGGUAGAGCACUGAUUGGACUAGGGGCCCCCAACGGGUUACCGAAUUCAGUCAAACUCCGAAUGCCAAAGACUUAUCCAUGGGAGUCAGACUGCGAGUGAUAAGAUCCGUAGUCAAAAGGGAAACAGCCCAGACCACCAGCUAAGGUCCCCAAGUAUACGUUAAGUGGAAAAGGAUGUGGAGUUGCUUAGACAACCAGGAUGUUGGCUUAGAAGCAGCCACCAUUUAAAGAGUGCGUAAUAGCUCACUGGUCGAGUGACUCUGCGCCGAAAAUGUACCGGGGCUAAACGUAUCACCGAAGCUGUGGAUUGACAUCUUUGAUGUCAGUGGUAGGAGAGCGUUCUAAGUGCAGUGAAGUCAGACCGUAAGGACUGGUGGAGCGCUUAGAAGUGAGAAUGCCGGUAUGAGUAGCGAAAGACAAGUGAGAAUCUUGUCCACCGAAUGCCUAAGGUUUCCUGAGGAAGGCUCGUCCGCUCAGGGUUAGUCGGGACCUAAGCCGAGGCUGAAAAGCGUAGGCGAUGGCCAACAGGUUGAUAUUCCUGUACCACCUCCCCGCCGUUUGAGUAAUGGGGGGACGCAGUAGGAUAGGGUAAGCGCGCUGCUGGAUAUGCGCGUUCAAGCAGUUAGGCUGAUGAGUAGGCAAAUCCGCUCAUCAUGAAGGCUGAGCUGUGAUGACGAGGGAAUUAUAGUACCGAAGUUCCUGAUUCCACACUGCCAAGAAAAGCCUCUAGCGAGGCGGGAGGUGCCCGUACCGCAAACCGACACAGGUAGGCGAGGAGAGAAUCCUAAGGUGAUCGAGAGAACUCUCGUUAAGGAACUCGGCAAAAUGACCCCGUAACUUCGGGAGAAGGGGUGCUCUGGUAGGGUGUAUAGCCCGAGAGAGCCGCAGUGAAUAGGCCCAGGCGACUGUUUAGCAAAAACACAGGUCUCUGCGAAGCCGCAAGGCGAAGUAUAGGGGCUGACGCCUGCCCGGUGCUGGAAGGUUAAGAGGAGGGG
rnacentral:rRNA from 1 species